GCACUUUCUGUUCUCGGUGAGGCGGCUUCUCAAGGCUCCCAAGAAAGGGAUUGGCUUCACCUCUUCUUAAAGGAGAGGCACACAGAGUUCCGUGGAAAUUAUCUGAGGCAAUGACCCACUCUCAAAUGUCUCUACCAGGCAACUCACGCCUUGACUUUCCUCCCUGUGUAUCCCUGCGCCAGCAGUUCAUCUCUCUGAGCCUUGAGAUGGAGAUUCCUAAGGAAAAUGAAGAUAAUUAUUUAAUAUGAUAAUAUUAAAAUUUCCCCUAUCAGUAAUUUUCAGAUGACAUCAGCAUUACCUGCGAAUUUGUUACCAAUGCAAGUUCUUAGUCCCCACCCACUGAAUCAGCAACCAGGAUCUGACCCCUCCCCAUCUGCCCCUCCAGCCCCCAGGGAAGCCAGAACCAGGCACAAACCAGAUGGCCCAGCUUAUGCCCAGCAACUCAGGGUCACCAGAUCUUGUCUCAUCAAGACACUUUCAGCCCACCACCCAAACCUGUAGCCCACAUGAAGAGGGCAAUAAUCCUGGACACUGUGAAAAGUAAAAGCAUUACAUCCAAAGAGGCAUCCCCAGGAUGGAGCAGAAAUAAGAAAACAUAAUGAAGACACAAUUUUGCAAUCACUUCUGCCUAUAUUCCAUGGCCUACAAACCACUCAAAUAGCUCCACAUGUAAGAGAAGCCAGGAUGUGCUGUCCUCCAGAGCAUCCAGAAAGAGAUAAUGGGACUGAUAAGUCCUUGGCCAUUUUCUAGUAAAAUCUAUUAAUUUAGUCA